rnacentral:rRNA from 1 species
UACGUAGGUGACAAGCGUUAUCCGGAAUUACUGGGCGUAAAGCGCACGCAGGUGGCUGAACAAGUCUGACGUGAAAUAUCCCGGCUUAACUGGGAGGGGUCGUUGGAAACUGUUUAGCUUGAGGCGACGAGAGGGGUGUAGAAUUCCCGGUGUAGUGGUGGAAUGCGUAGAUAUCGGGAGGAAUACCAGUGGCGAAAGCGGCACCCUGGCGUUAGCCUGACGCUCAUGUGCGAAGGCGUGGGGAGCGAACGGG